rnacentral:tRNA from 1 species
GCGUUUAUAGUGUAGAGGUUAUCACGUUUGCUUCACAUGCAAGAGGCCACCAGUUCGAGUCUGGUUAAACGCA